GGAAGAGCCUUCGUUUUGUCUCCUACUGUUUCUCCUUCCAUAUAGGUAUUCUCUUAAACGAACCCUUGAUCUUCUUUUGACAAACCUUGCUCUCUUACUCGGGAGCUCUUCCUCAAAUUUCAGCAAAUUAUAUUGAAUUUUCUGCAUCUCCAAUUCCAACCUUCCAAUUUUCUCAGAGACCUUUCUUGCCCGAUCAGAAAUUUGCUUGUGUCUUUUGCUCACACUAUCUUUUUUCUCAGCAUAAUUGUCAGGUGAUGCAGAAUAGUCUUCCACUUUCUUUGUCAACUUACUGUUCACAUCAAUGAGCUUUGUUAUGGUUCCCUCAGCUUCUUUCAAUUGUCCCUUGAAAGUAUUGAACUCAGAUCUGGUAGGCUGGUUGAUCUUUUCAGAAAUUUCCAUAUUACUCUGGAGUUCCUGUAUGCUUGAUUGAAGAAGCAACAACCUCUGAGCAUCAGAAAUAAGUCUUUCUACGACCCUUCUGUUCCAUUCCAAGUGGGGCUCCAACU
rnacentral:lncRNA from 1 species